GGGCUUGCGGCGGGAAGGCUGAGGGAGCCUCGGAGGAGGUCGCCAUCAGCUCGGACGGCUCUUUCUGCCUGCAGCAGCUCACACUAACAGAAUGCUCUGAAGAGGAUUAUCAGUAUGAAGAGGGCUGUAAUUCCCCAACAAGAAGACAGAAGCCUGGGCUACAGUUGCUUUGAAUGAGUGAAAAAGGAUUCAACACUGCGUGGAACGUUGAACUGUUUUACCUUUUCAAAGACAUUGUUGAUCUACAGUUUUCUGAAUGGUUGCACUUAAUGAGCUAGUUUUUUUUUUAAGUUGUAUUCUAUUAGAAUGAAUUACGCAGAGGCUUCAUUUCUGUCUCUGUUUAUUGUACUCGGCCUGGAUAACCUCCAGCUGCUUCACCUUCGUUUUAGCUUCCUGCAGCUCCUGUAGAGUGAAUUCCACUUCCACCAGAUGUUGAUUUUCAGCCCUUUCCAAUUUGGUCUUCAGUGACUUCCCAUAACUUUGAUUUCAGAUCUCUUACUGUCAGUAAUUGCUUUCAUUAGCUGAAGCUCAUCUUCGUGCUCCCGUGAUGCUAUCUUUUCUUGCAGAGUACUGAUUUCUUUGAACAAUAAAAGAAACGUGUCCACAUUA